AAGACAUAUAAGAAACACCCGGCAUUGUUAGCUUGAAGUGUUGACAUUGACAGGUUUUGAACAUUUGUGGAGCAGUAAGAAGGAGCAGAGGCCAACUGUGGGACCAUUGCGCAGCGAAGAUGGAGGUGCACCAUGGCUUGCCGCAAUGUCACAACUGGUCCUUGGAGAGGCGCUGGUGGUGACGGCCUGCCUGUGCCCUCUCUGCAGCAAAAUUCCACAAAUACUCCACUCACCAAGUUCCAGAGGGAGAGGAUCACCAGCCACCACCGGCCGUACUAAAGGAAGUGGUUCUAUGUUGGGAUGGAACAUGGCAACUGCACCAGCUGGAACACACCUAGCCAACUGAUCACCAGCCACCACCGGCCGUACUAAAGGAAGUGGUUCUAUGUUGGGAUGGAACAUGGCAACUGCACCAGCUAGGACACACCUAGCCAACUAUUGUGUUAAGAAUAUGGAGAAAGACGGACCAAGGAAAGAAGAGGAGGAGGAGGUAGAAGAG
rnacentral:lncRNA from 1 species